rnacentral:rRNA from 1 species
GACGAACGCUGGCGGCGUGCCUAAUACAUGCAAGUAGAACGCUGAAGAGAGGAGCUUGCUCUUCUUGGAUGAGUUGCGAACGGGUGAGUAACGCGUAGGUAACCUGCCUUGUAGCGGGGGAUAACUAUUGGAAACGAUAGCUAAUACCGCAUAACAAUGGAUGACCCAUGUCAUUUAUUUGAAAGGGGCAAAUGCUCCACUACAAGAUGGACCUGCGUUGUAUUAGCUAGUAGGUGAGGUAACGGCUCACCUAGGCGACGAUACAUAGCCGACCUGAGAGGGGGAUCGGCCACACUGGGACUGGGACACGGCCCAGACUCCUACGGGAGGCAGCAGUAGGGAAUCUUCGGCAAUGGGGGCAACCCUGACCGAGCAACGCCGCGUGAGUGAAGAAGGUUUUCGGAUCGUAAAGCUCUGUUGUAAGUCAAGAACGAGUGUGAGAGUGGAAAGUUCACACUGUGACGGUAGCUUACCAGAAAGGGACGGCUAACUACGUG